GACGAACGCUGGCGGCGUGCUUAACACAUGCAAGUCGAACGGAAAGGCCCUGCUUUUGUGGGGUGCUCGAGUGGCGAACGGGUGAGUAACACGUGAGUAACCUGCCCUUGACUUUGGGAUAACUUCAGGAAGCUGGGGCUAAUACCGGAUAGGAGCUCCUGCUGCAUGGUGGGGGUUGGAAAGUUUCGGCGGUUGGGGAUGGACUCGCGGCUUAUCAGCUUGUUGGUGGGGUAGUGGCUUACCAAGGCUUUGACGGGUAGCCGGCCUGAGAGGGUGACCGGCCACAUGGGGACUGAGAUACGGCCCAGACUCCUACGGGAGGCAGCAGUGGGGAAUAUUGCACAAUGGGCGGAAGCCUGAUGCAGCAACGCCGCGUGCGGGAUGACGGCCUUCGGGUUGGAAACCGCUUUCGCCUGUGACGAAGCGUGAGUGACGGUAAUGGGUAAAGAAGCACCGGCUAACUACGU
rnacentral:rRNA from 1 species